rnacentral:rRNA from 1 species
UACGGAGGGGGCGAGCGUUAUUCGGAAUUAUUGGGCGUAAAGGGCGCGUAGGCGGCCUGAUAAGUCAAAGGUGAAAUCCCUCGGCUCAACUGAGGAAUUGCCUUUGAAACUGUCAGGCUUGAGGCCGGGAGGGGGUGGCGGAAUUCCCAGUGUAGCGGUGAAAUGCGCAGAUAUCAGGAGGAACACCGGUGGCGAAGGCGGGUCUCUGGGCCGAUACUGACGCUGAGGAGCGAAAGCGUGGGGAGCGAACAGG